AUGUUUGCUUCAGCUCCACUGCUGCUGCUGGCUCUCGCCCCCUAUGUGUUCUGUGCUACUGAGCUCAUCCAGUCAGACUCACUGCUUAUAAAGCCAGGAGAGACUUUAACCAUCACCUGUAAAGUGUCUGGAGCUUCUAUCACUGAUAGCAGCCACUAUGGAACAGCUUGGAUUCGACAACCUGCAGGAAAAGCUUUAGAAUGGAUCAACAGUAUUUAUUAUGAUGGGAGUAUUCAUAAGAAAGAUUCACUUAAAGACAAGUUUGUGGUCUCUCGAGACACUUCCAGUAACUCCGUGACCUUACGGGGACAGAACAUGCAGACUGAAGACACAGCUGUGUAUUACUGCGUGUGUAUCAUCUGA